CUUUAUUGGAGAGUUUGAUCCUGGCUCAGGACGAACGCUGGCGGCAUGCCUAAUACAUGCAAGUCGAGCGGACUUGAUGAGAAGCUUGCUUCUCUGAUGGUUAGCGGCGGACGGGUGAGUAACACGUAGGCAACCUGCCCUCAAGUUUGGGACAACUACCGGAAACGGUAGCUAAUACCGAAUAAUUGUUUUCUUCGCCUGAAGGGAACUGGAAAGACGGAGCAAUCUGUCACUUGGGGAUGGGCCUGCGGCGCAUUAGCU
rnacentral:rRNA from 1 species